rnacentral:piRNA from 1 species
AUAAGAGUUCGGUUCCCAG